rnacentral:rRNA from 1 species
GAUGAACGCUGGCGGCGUGCUUAACACAUGCAAGUCGAACGAUGAAGCCCAGCUUGCUGGGUGGAUUAGUGGCGAACGGGUGAGUAACACGUGAGUAACCUGCCCUUUACUCUGGGAUAAGCCUGGGAAACUGGGUCUAAUACUGGAUAUGACUUCUCAUCGCAUGGUGGGGGGUGGAAAGAUUUAUUGGUCUUGGAUGGACUCGCGGCCUAUCAGCUUGUUGGUGAGGUAAUGGCUCACCAAGGCGACGACGGGUAGCCGGCCUGAGAGGGUGACCGGCCACACUGGGACUGAGACACGGCCCAGACUCCUACGGGAGGCAGCAGUGGGGAAUAUUGCACAAUGGGCGCAAGCCUGAUGCAGCGACGCCGCGUGAGGGAUGACGGCCUUCGGGUUGUAAACCUCUUUCGGUAGGGAAGAAGCGAGAGUGACGGUACCUGCAGAAGAAGCGCCGGCUAACUACGUG